rnacentral:rRNA from 1 species
AACGAACGCUGGCGGCAUGCCUAACACAUGCAAGUCGAACGAGACCUUCGGGUCUAGUGGCGCACGGGUGCGUAACGCGUGGGAACCUGCCUUUAGGUUCGGAAUAACUCAGAGAAAUUUGAGCUAAUACCGGAUGAUUUCUUCGGACCAAAGAUUUAUCGCCUUUAGAUGGGCCCGCGUUGGAUUAGCUAGUUGGUGGGGUAAAGGCCUACCAAGGCGACGAUCCAUAGCUGGUCUGAGAGGAUGAUCAGCCACACUGGGACUGAGACACGGCCCAGACUCCUACGGGAGGCAGCAGUGGGGAAUAUUGGACAAUGGGCGAAAGCCUGAUCCAGCAAUGCCGCGUGAGUGAUGAAGGCCUUAGGGUUGUAAAGCUCUUUUACCCGAGAUGAUAAUGACAGUAGCGGGAGAAUAAGCUCCGGCUAACUCCGUG